CAUCAUCGAUUUGUUGGGGACAGAUCCAAUGCACAUGGGUGUCGAUUCCACCUGCAGUCAAAAUGAGUUUUUCUCCUGCAAUGACAUCGGUGGUGGCACCAACAAUCAUAUUGGGAUCGACUUCGUUCAUCAUGUCGGGAUUGCCUGCCUUGCCGAUACCCACAAUUCGAUUUCCUUUGAUCCCGACAUCGGCCUUGUAUAUACCAAACACGGUUGGACUGUAUUUUAGAACAUCAUUUUG